rnacentral:rRNA from 1 species
GACGAACCGUCCAAACGUUAUUCGGAAUCACUGGGCUUAAAGGGUGCGUAGGCUGUCCGGUAAGUUGGGUGUGAAAGCCCUCGGCUCAACCGAGGAAUUGCGCCCAAAACUGCCGGGCUCGAGGGAGAUAGAGGUGAGCGGAACUAAGGGUGGAGCGGUGAAAUGCAUUGAUAUCCUUAGGAACACCAGUAGCGAAAGCGGCUCACUGGGUCUCUUCUGACGCUGAGGCACGAAAGCUAGGGGAGCGAACGGG